UCGAUCUACACCCUUUGCCUGGAUGAUCUCAUCCCGUCUCCUGGUUUUCAAUGCCAUUUCUGUACCUAUGGGCCCUCGGUUUGUAUACCCCACUCCGGGUCUUCAACUGUGCCUCCGCUCGCCCCAGUGGUUGCUGCCUCCACCGUGUGGGUAAAGGUGCCUGUCACUAACUCUGACAACUGGAGUUUGAUCCCCACAAUUUACACACGGAAGGAGACAAGCAGCUCCUGAAGGCUGUCUCUGCACUCGAACACAGACACACAACAAACGAAUUUAAGGGACUGGGCACCGCUAUUCUGUCUGCCUAACUGUGGACCACGGGAGGAAACAAGACUACAUCUCCUGGACCCAGGACCUGUCAAUCGCUCACUUGGGAUGAAGGAUCAGGCCGAUUGAGGAUGUGACCUCCAUCCCCUCUGACAGCCCUCGAAGGAAGGAAGGUCGCUGUGGUCACUGUCUGUGGACAGGACUUCUCAGGUUGCUUUCUGUUAAUAAAUUGCCUUCCUGUAAGCUAAAAAAAAAAAAAGUGGGGCGGCUCUCAGGCUUGAGGCAGCUCUGACUAGCUAAAUCUGGGACAACUUGGGCGUUUAAAUAGAGCAAUAAUGGAUCGUAACCUAUUAAGUAAGAAUUGUUGAGUUUGCCUUGAUAGAAAUGAAUGGGAAAAAAAGUGGGGAAAUCCCUCAAGUGGAGAGAACUAUGGCAUUAGAGUAGCCAUCAAGCCACCACAUCGUAAAAACACACUGCAACAAUGAUCAUCAUCAGGGAUUUGUGUUUGACAAGAGGCAAGAUAUUCUCAUGGUUUGGAGCCAGCAAGAUGGCUCAGCAGAUAAAGACACUUGCCACCCAAGGACACAAGCCUGACGGAUUAGUCCCACAGAGUCCAUGCUGGAGACUGCUCACCAGUUAAGGCCUGCUCUUGCAGAAGACCUGAGCCAGGCUCCGAUCACCCACACCAGCUGGGUGUGGUGCAGCUUGUAACUGCAGCCUCAGGGGUAUCUGAAACCUCUGGCUUCUGCCUCCAGCUGGCACCUGUACUCACAUGGACACCCAAAAAAAAAAAAUCCUUAAAAAGAGAUUCCCACAGCUUCAAGACAGGAACUUGCUCUGUAGACCAGGCUGGCUUCAAACCACAGAGGGAUUAAAGGCACGCACCACCCUGGUUAGAAGGCCAACUUUCAGACGUCAGUUCUCUCUUUUUGCUGUGGGAUCCAGGGAUCAAACUUUGGUCAUCAGGCUUGCACUGCAAGCACUUUUAUCUGUUGAGCUUUCUCGCUGGCCUGAAAUAGUUAAUUAUUAGCGAUGGAAGGAAACACUAACUCUACAAUGGAGGAACUUGGCAGACCCAACCUUCACCAGUGAUCCAACUUUCUAAACCAGCAGUGGGACAAACAGAUGGAUUUGAGAGCAUGAUAGCUCGUAGCAGACAAUACCAUAUUCUCACAGUAUAACAUUGUCAUAGCAUAUCUUACAGGAUAGCAUUGUCAUAGCAUAUUCUCACAGUAUAGCACUGUUAUAGCAUAUUCUCAUAGUAUAGCACUGUCAUAGCAUAGUCUCAUAGUAUAACAUUGUCAUAGCAUAUUCUCACAGGAUAGCAUUGUCAUAGCAUAUUCUCACAGAAUAGCAUUGUCAUAGCAUACUCGCAUAGAAUAGCAUUGCCAACCUCCGUGUUCUGGUAGUUCUGUGAGCUGUAGGAAAGUGUUCUUGAUUUUAGUAAAUACUCAUGAAGUAUUAGGUAAAGGGACCUCAUGCCUUUGGUAUACUCUGAAGGCAUGGAGAUACAAAUAUGUGAAUAGUCUGGGCUACAUAGUUAUGUCAACUUGACACACGCUAGAGUCAGUUGGAAAGAGGGAAACUGGAUAAGAAAGUGUCUUCACCAGUUGCCCUGUGGAGAGCCUGUAGUGCAUUUUCUCUACUGAUGUGGUGGGGUGGAAAGCAUCUCACUGUGGGCAGUGUCAACCCUGGGCUGGUGGUCCUAGAAAUCAGGCUGAGCAGGCCCUAAGGAGCAAGCCAGUAAGUGGUGCUUCUCCAUGGCCUCUGCAUCAGCUCCUGCCUCCAAGCUCCUGCGCUGACUGACUUCCCUGGAUUAUGAACUACAAACUGUAAAAUGAGAUACACCCUCCCUUCCCCGAGUCGCUUUUGAUCAUGGUGUUUAUCACAGCAGUAAAAACCCUAAGACAUCA